UAUAAAAGGCAGAAGUGGUAAGAGUCGGCUCUUCUUUGGUGAGCUGAGCUCAAAUGAUCUGGCUCACUAAAAAGAGCCUGAACUCCCAUCACUAUACUGUCCAGGCUCACGGUGGGCGGGGCUCCAUGUUGCCAUGACAAUGACGUCAAUGUUGGUGUCGAGUAACCAAAGGUCAAAAUAAAGACAAGUGAAUGAAAAACGGAAGGAAACUUAACAGGCUGCACAGAAUGAGGACACAACAUCUACCAAAUCAUCUCAAACACUUCACACUCACUCUCUGCAGCGGGGUGUCGACAUAUAUGUUGUCCGGGAAUCAUACGUUUGAUUCCGCCGGUAAGGAGACGACGUCAGACAGCAGAAGGAAAAUACAAGACUGCAGACAAUGAUGGGAUCUGGAUUCACUACGGACAUCUACAAUGUGUUAUCAACAGUGGAUGUUUCCUUCACUGACAGCACAGAUCCGUUAUACUGCACCACUCUAUCAGUCCAUAUGAUCCUAACCCGUUAUAGCUAACAGAAGGAAAAUACAAGACUGCAGACAAUGAUGGGAUCUGGAUUCACUACGGACGUCAUCUACAGUGUUUUAUUAUCAUGGUCAGAUGGCCAUUUUCCAGACUGUUUGCUGCCCUUGCCGAGUUUCACCUGCGGGUAGAAGCCCUCACAGUUUUUUAGCAUGCUUCAAAGAGAUAUCUUAUCCUGGUCCUGCUGACUAGAUUUUCCAUAUACUUGUCAACAUUGUGACUUUUGUCUCUGCACAUUAUCGUCUGUGACUGAGGUUACAAAUGCACACGGGUAGUUUGAGGCUGUAAACAUCCCCGACUGGAAGCUGUCUAUCUGCAGAGCUUUCAGUCUGAUGUUUGCUGCUGCCGGCUGCCUCCAGCUCCACAGAAAUCUCCAUUUAUCUGACCUGCUUUUUUUAAAAAUCCAAACUUAAUUGCCUGAGAAGGUUGUAUUACUAAUAGUAAUUAGGCCCUGUAGGUCACAUUUGCACCGUAACUUUUAUGUUUUCGUGUUCUGUAUCCUCAAUAUCAGUUGUUCCGACUCAGUUCAUGUAAACAUCCUACACUCAGCUGUAAUCGGUUGCGGCAGAGGCUGAGAGAAGGUUGUUUACUUGAACUGGCUGGAAGUGACAUAAAGCGAGCUGAUUGAAGGGCAUCCACAUCAAGGUCAUAUACGUCACAGGUUUACCAAGUCAUUAAACAAAUACAAAUUGAUACGCGAUUUUAAGUAAAAUUACCAAACAUUUGUUUGCCACAACCUCUCAGAGUUAUAUUUGUGUACUUUUCUUUCAUUCAUUGUACUUAUGUUUAGUUGCUUUGUUGUGUUUUGUCUACUUACCUCCAUGCAAAGCGCUAUAUAAAUGCAAAUUGUUAGUGUUUUUAUUUCAUACCACUUUAAAUUGAAACUUGUUUGGCUUUUUAAUGAAGCUAUUUAAAGACAUUAUCUUGGGCUUUGAUGAUGUGUUUUAGUUUUGACAUGUCAUAUGCUAAGUUAUUUAUUGAUAAUUAAUUAAUUGAUUUUAAUAAUGUAAUUAAUUAAUAACGAAAACAAUAAUUAGCUCCAGCCCUAAUAAAUGGUUUAAUAAAAUGCUCAUUACCUUGUUUCCUCGUUGCUUGACAGGGUGUGGUGCUGUUAUGCUGUUUUUUUUCCCCUUCAGGCAAAAUAAAAGAAAUAUAAUCAUGCAGCGAGCCCUGUCAGAGUGAGAGUUUGCCUGUGUUGAAUGUUUAUGCUAAUUGCUGACAUGAAAACUAUAUGCGAGCCAGCUUAAAGUAUAGUAGUUUUGUUCUUUAACUGAUGGAAAGUGUUUUGUAAAAACACAGCGCUCCUGUUAAUGUAAUACAAGUGGUUGGACAUAAUGUCACCUAAAAUAAGAUGUGUGGACAAAAACAAUAUAUAAGAGUAAAUGAUAAAAGAUUGUACACGGUAUGUUUCAGUGGAUGAGCUGCAGUUCAGCUCCAUCAGAUUUCCUGUUCCUGCCUCCACGUUGACCUCUUAAACAGACUUCUAUAAAUAGAUGCCCUGCUAGGGCCUAACAGAGCAGUCUAAUUUCUGGAUUCAUCCAUUAAUCAGCAAGAGUAGGGAGGUUAGUGAGAAAAAGAGGAGUUUAUUUUUACCAUAAUUUGAGUGUGUAGCUCCAGUGCACCACUUAAUUGUUGGGUUGUGGCUUCACGUGUGCUGCUGCGACAGACGCAAUACCUAAAGGCUUGUAAACGUCAAUAUCUCAUUUAUGAAUGGGGUGCUGGUUGAUGAUCAGAUGUUUGAUUAACUGUAUAUUUACAUUAUGUACAGAUUUAUAAGAUAUUUUGUAAAAAGCUGAUUUAACAUUUCAUGCUUUGCACACAUGUAAGUGAUUUGAAAAAUGUUGAAAUAAAUAAAAGCAAUACAAUCUGAA